CCUACGGGAGGCAGCAGUGGGGAAUAUUGCACAAUGGGGGAAACCCUGAUGCAGCGACGCCGCGUGAGUGAAGAAGUAUUUCGGUAUGUAAAGCUCUAUCAGCAGGGAAGAAGAAAGACGGUACCGGACGAAGAAGCCCCGGCUCACUACGUGCGAGCAGCCGCGGUAAUAAGGAGGGGGCAAGGGUUAGCCGGAUUUACUGGGUGGAAAGGGAGCGUAGUAGGCUGUGCAAGUCUGCAGGGCACGCCCAGGGCGCAACCCUGGGACUGCUUUGGAAAGUGAGGGGCUAGAGUGCUGGGGUGUUAAGUGGAAUUCCUAGUGUAGCGGUGAAAUGCGUAGAUAUUAGGAGGAACACCCGUGGCGCGGGCGGCUUACUGGACCGUAACUGACGUUGCGGCUCGCAAGCGUGGGGAGCAAACAGGAUUAGAUACCCCAGUAGUC
rnacentral:rRNA from 1 species